rnacentral:lncRNA from 10 species
GAGGGGCUGGUUUUCAGUACUAUUGUACAGUAAAAAAUAUUUUUGUCUUGGUUUGCGCUCACCACCUCCUUUCACUAUCUUUUUUUUCCUUUCCUAUGUUUCUGACACUAAUGUAGUUUUAAUUUAAGAUGAUGAAUGAUCCAAAAGAUACAACAUGAAUCACUAGAGGAAUAUAGACGACAGACUCUGCUUAGUUUAAUUCUUUGUUUAAACUUAAUUUUAUUGGUUUACCAUUGUCAAUUAUGAAUGUUAUUAUAAUAUGUCUACAGUCUUGCUCUGGGGAGGAGAAAGUUACUUCCAGAAGGAUAAAAACAAUAGUUGCAUACAGUACAUACAAGGAACAUUAAAGGUGGUAAGGAAACAAGUAUCUAAGAUAAACUCUUGGCUCCAUUAGGGGGACAUGAAUUCCAGCAAGCGAAUUGGCUCACGGAAAUAAGAAAAUGCAUGAAAAUAUCACAGAAUCCAUAGUUUACAUGACAUAAAAGGGGCCAAACACACAGGCAGCCUGUAGGUUGGCAUGGGCUUCAUGUACUUUUCCAUGCUUGAGGAAAAGUAAUAAUCUCUUUCUGCCAAGUCGGUCUCAGUGUUAGUACCAAGGAGAGUCUUCCCAUGUUUGUGGAGAUUGUUCAGGUCUGGCUCAUAUGCUGAAAGGGAUGUACUGGAACCUUUACAAAUAUGAAAGCCAAAAAAAAUCGGCAGAAAAUGCUGAAAUGUUUGUAUGAGAAUUUAGCCUGCUUAGGGAAGAAGCCUGGGCAAUUAUGCCAAGGAGGACAACAAAAUAUUGCACUACAGUGAUGCAGCAAUUUGCAGAUUAUUUGGGAAAAUAUCCUUCAAUAAAAUGUCUACUUGGGUGUAAUGGGCAAUGGAGACAAAUUUCGAUAUCCUUUACUGAAUCAAAUGUGAGGUUAACUGAGGAGAAAAUCAAUCCUUUUUUUAAAAAAGUAUGGUUAUAUGUGACCUGGUCAAAACUUGAUUCAGCUACACAAAAUUAUCUGUUGUGUUUUAUAAGACACUCACUUGGAAUUAGGUGAGUAAUAUCUGGUUUACAAAUAUGUAGGUUAAAGUCACUUAAAAAGAAACGCUUCCAAAAUAUGUAGCUGUGCUAGAACAUCUAUUUCUUUUAUAUAGAGAAAAUGAAGGGCCAAUGAGAAGAAAUCUGUACCCUAGAAUGCAUUUUCCUGUUCUUCCUAUAUUAUUUCUAGUUCUAGAAACAGUUCUAAUAACAAAGUGUAAAAUUAAAAUGCAAUGCAGUGCAGUUCUUAAGACUAUGGGCGUUUGAGUCAAAUAGAGCUAAAUACAAAUUCUAUUUUUGUCAUUUACCGAUUGAAUGAACCUAGGAAAGCUAUUGAACUAGCCAACCCUCGCAUUUCCAUUACGAUAAUGGGAAUAAUACAAACUUUAUAGUUUCAAGAGGAUAAAAUGAGAGAAUAUAUGUUAAAAUAACAAAGUGACUGGCAUUUAAUAAAUUCUGAAAGAUUAUUUCACUUACCUGAGUAUUCAGAAAUAUUUAUUGAACAUUUGUGAUAUGCUAGACAAUGGUUCUAGGGAUAUAACAGUCUUUGAUAUCAGGAAGUCUGAUGAAAAGAAAAUUAAUAAACACUGAAACAAAUAAUAUGUCAGAAGUGUGGUCUGGGAUAAAAAAUGCAGAGUGCUAAAUGAUAGUGAUUUAUGGGCUGGAGAAAUUAUUUUUUUAUUUUUAUUUUCAAUUUUCAUUUAUUCACUUUUUACAGUGGUUAUUUUAUGACUGGUUUAUUUCAUUUAGCAUAAAGUUUUCAAGGUUCAUCCCUGUUGUAGUAUAUGCCAGAAUUUUGUUCUUUUGUUUUUCAGCUUUACUGAAGUACUAUUAAAAAAUAAAAAUGGUAUAAACAGGUAUUCAAGGCAUACAGAUUGAUAUUUUGAUAUGAAAAUAUAUUGUGAAAUGAUUACCACAAUCAAGGUAAUUAACCUAUUCAUCACCUCAAAUACUUACCUUUCCAUUUUUUUUUUUUUUUUUUUUUUUUUUUUUUUGUGGUGAGAAUACUUAAGUUCUACUCUCUUGGCAAGUUUCAAGUAUGCAAUACAUUGUUAUUACCCGUAGUAACUAUGAGGUAAAGUAUACAUCAUAUAAAAAUUAUUCAUCUUGCAACUGCAAAUUUGUACCCUCUGACCAACCUCUCCCAUCUCACCCAUCUCCUGACCUCUGGUAACCACACUCUCUUUCUAUGAGUUCCAUUUUUUAGACUCUGCAUGUAGGUGAGAUCAUGCAGUAUUUUUCUAUUUCUGGCUUAUGUCACUGAGCAUAAUAUCUUCCAGUUUCAUCCAUAUUGUUGCAAUGGCAGGAUUUCCUUCUUUUUUAGAGUCUGAAAUAUUCCUCUGUGUGUGUGUGUGUAUCAAGUUCUUUCUCCAUUCAUCCAUUGAUUUGAUGGACAUUUAGAUUGUUUCUAUACUUAACUAUUGUGAAUAAUGCUGAAAUGAAUGUGGGGCUGCAGGUAUGUCUUCACAUUAGUUAUUUUAUUUCUAUUGGAUAUAUAGCCAGAAGUAGCUUGUUGAAUCAUAUGAUAAUUCUCUUUUUAAUUUUUUGAUAAAUCUCCAUACUGCCUUCCACUAUGGCUGCACCAAUUUACAUUCCCACCAGCAAUGUACAUGACUUUCCUGUUCUCUAAAUCCUCACCAACAUUUACUGUCUUUUGAAUUUUUUUAAUAAUAAGCAUCCUAAAAGCUGUGAAGUGAUAGUUCUUUGAGUUCUGAUUUGCAUUUCCAUAAUGAUUAGUGAUGUUGAACACCUUUUCAUGUACCUAUUGACUAUUUAUAUGUCUUCUUUGGAAAAAUAUCUAUUUAGGACCCAUGCUCCAUUUUAUAUUGUGUUAUUAUUAUUAUUUGCUAUUAAGUUAUAUAAGUUUCUUAUAUAUUUUGGAUAUUAAUCCUUUGCCUUAUUGAAUUUUCUAUUGCUUAUAAUAGAAUAUCUGAAACUGAGUAAUUUAUUUUAAAAAAUAAAUAUAUUUCUUACAGUUACAGAGAUGAAGAAGUUCAAGGCCAAGGGGCUGCAUCUGGCGAGAACCUUCUUGCUGGCAAGGACUCUCUGGAGUGCCAGGGUCAUGAAGGGCAUCAUGUGGAGAAGGCACAGAGCAUGCUAGCCCAGGUCUCUCUUCCUCUUCUAUUUUUUAAUUUUUUUUAAAUUUUUUUAAUGUUUUGAGGCAGGAUCUUGCUGUUUCACUCAGGCUGGGGUGUAGUGGUGCAAUCACAGAUCACUGAAGCCUUGACCUCCCAGGUUAAAGUGAUCCUUCUGCCUCAGCCUUCUGAGUAGUUGGGACUACAGGUGCACACUACCAUGCCUGGCUAAUCUUUGUGUUUUUGUAGAGAUGGGGUUUUUGCCAUGUUUCCCAGGCUGAUUUCAAACACCUGAGCUCAAGCAAUGCGCCUGCUUUGGCCUCUCAAAGUGCUGGGCUUACAGGUGUGAGCCGCCAUGCCUGGCCUAUUUUAUCUUCUUAUAAACCAAUCAGUCUCACUCUCAUGAAAAUCCAUUAAUCCAUUAACUGAAUAAUCUAUGAAUGAAUUAACUCAGUCAUGAGGGCAGAUCCUUCACGGUCCAUUCACCUCUUAAAGGCCCUACUUCUCAAUACUGCAAAAUUAGAGAUUAAAUUUCAACAUGAAUUUUGGAGGAAACAAAUAUUCAAACAAUAGCAUUUUGCACCUAGCCACAUAAAACUCAUGUCCUUCUCACAUACAGUUACACCCAUUCCAUCUCCAUAGUCCCAGAGUCUUAACUUGCAUCAGCACCAGUUCAAAAGUCCAAAGUCCAGAGUUUUAUCUGUGAGCCUGCAAAAUCAAUACAAGUUAUCUACUUCCAUGAUGAGAUGGUGGUACAGGAACAAGAUAUUCUUAUUCCAAAAGGGAAAAAUAAGUAAAACAGAAGGAAUAACAGACCUCUAGUAAGUCUAAAACCCAGAGACAUUAAAUCUUAAAAAAGCAAAUAAUCUCUUUUAACUCCAUGUGCUACCUCUUGGGCACAUUGAGAUAACAGUUGGGUCUUUAAGGCCUCAGGCAGCUCUGUCCCCAUGUCUUUGCUGGCUGUAGCCCACAUGGCUACUUGUACAGGUUAGGGUUGGAUACCUGAAGCUUUCUCAGGCAAGCAUUCCAUGCUGCUGGUGACUCCACAGUUCUGGAGUCUCCCUGGUCAUAUAGCUGCCAUGGCUCCACAGGCAUUGUCCUGGUAGGGACUCUACAACAGCCUCAACUCCACAUUUUUUCUGCUCAGCACUGCCCUAGAAGGGGCUAUUUGUGGUGACUCUGCUCUAGGACAAUGGUCCCUAGGCUUUUGAUGACAUCUUUUGAAAUUUGGGUGGAGGCUGUGAAGCCUCCACAGCUCUUGCUUUCUGCAAGCCUUUAGAAUUGGCACCAUGUGGAUGUUGCUAAUACAACUUGUACCUUAUGGAGUUGCAAGAACCACAGCUGGGGCCACUGGAGCCAGGGCUGGAGUGGACAUGGAGUGGUGCACUAGGGUGCAAUAAGUGGGGUGCACUAAGCAGAGUCCAAGGUGGCCCUGGGUAAUGAACCCCUAGAGAGCAUCCAGGGCCUUCCCCAUAAAACCAUUUGGCCUCCAAGAUCUCUGGGAUUGUGCUGGGAAGGGCAGCCUUGAAAAUCUCUAAAAUGCUUUUGGGACUCUUUCUACCACUGUCAAGGAAUAGCAGCUGACUCCCUUCUAUCUAUGCUAAUCUCUUUAGCAAAUUGUCUUUGGGCUACACCCAGGACAAAGUAUGUUUUACUGAACACACGUUUUCACUCUUUCUAUGGUGGAGCUGAGAAUUUUCCAAAUCUUUCUGCCCUGCUUCUCUUUUAAUUUUAAUUUCUGUCUUUAAAUUAUUCCUUUUCUCCAGAAUCUCAGCAUAAGUUGCCAAAAGUAACCCUGCAAAUUCUUCCAUAUUUUGCAUAGAAAUUUCUUCUGCCAGAUAUCCUAGUUCAUCACUCUCAAGUUUAAUCUUUCACAAAGCCCUCAGGCAUGGACAUAAUUCAGCCAAAUUCUUUGCCAAUUUAUGACAAGAACGGCUUUUUCUUUUUUCAGUUCCCAAUACCUUGUUCAUCAGUUCCAACUGAAAUUGCAGCAGAAUAGCCUUUAAUCUGCAUAUGCUUAUCAGCAUCCUGGUCACAACAACUUAAUCAAUCUCUAAUGAGUUCCACACCUUCCCUAGUCAUCUUGUCUUCUAAGCCCUCACAAGAAUCUAGGCUUUUUAUAGUCUGCCCCCCUAACUUCUUCCAGCCUCUCCCCAUUACCCAGUUCCAAAGCCACUUCUGCAUUUUCUGGUAUUUAUUAUCAGCAAUAUGCCAUUUUUUGGUACCAAUUUUCUGUCUUAAUCCAUUUUCUGUUACUUAUAAAAAAAAUACCUGAAAGUAGCUAUCUUACAAAGAGAAAAAGUAUAUUUCUUUCAUUUAUGGAGGCUGAGAAUACCAAGAUCAAAGAAUGACAGGUUAGAUCUCACUAAGGCAGGCCUCCAUAACUACUGUUUCAGUACUGACUGAGUGGUUAAGUUAAAUAUUAAAAGCUAAAAAAAGCCAGUGCCUUUAUUCAAAGACUGGAAGGUAACAAAAGGCCACCAAGAGUUUCUCCCUAGGCCUUUCCUGGGCCUUAAAGCAUGAUAAAAUAAUGGAGGGAUUCUUAAUAAGACCCAUUUAAGAUUAAACAAGUUUUAUUCGGAGGUCUGAAGAAACUCCCCAGGCCUCCACAAACAAGUUUAUUGGGGGUCUGAAGGAACUCUCCAAACCUCCCUGAUUUAGCAGAAGAUAAGAUAAGGGUAAUCACCCGAGCACCUGGACCAAUUUAGAUUAAGUAAAUUUACUGAGGCUCCAGAAGAAGGUCUUUAGGACUCAGACCUUAAUUAUAGAUUAAAAGAAGUUAAUCACUUAUGUCUUUAGAUGAAUGCACACUUACAUGUAAACAUAUAGCUUAGAAGGUAUAUAAACUCUGGAAAACUGUAAUUUUGAGUUGGUCUGGCAGUAAUUUCCAGGCCUUCUCCCUGUAACCAGUUGCAGAAAUAAAAACUCUCUUCCUACCCAGUUCAUUUGCAUCUUGUUAUUGGGCACGAGAAAUAGCAGCCCAAUCCUCAGUUUGGUCAGGAACAAAAGGGCUUCAUCUUUUGAGGGCCUUUGUGCUGGCAGGACUCUCCAUGGAGUCCUGAGGCAGUUCAGAAUGCAAAUGCAAUAGAUUCAUUGCCAGAUGUGCACAGCAAGUCAAUAUGCCAAGACACCAAUUUGCAGCAGGGAAAAAGUAUUAAUCAUGGGGCUGCUGAAUGAGCAGAUGAGAGAAACUUCAAAUUUUGGAGGGGGCCAAAGUGUAGAGAUUAUCAGUUGGUCAAUGAGUGCAGGGUGAAGUUAUGGGCUAUGCAUGCUAGCUUGGGUCUUUCUUCCUUUUCUUUAAAACCACUAGUUCUACUUCAGUGAUAACCCAUUAAUCAUUAACUCAGUAAUCCAUUAAUCUGUAAAUGGGUCCCAGUCACCUCUUAAAGGCCCCACUUCUCACUACUGCCACAUUGGAAAUUAAAUUUCAAAACAUGAGUUUUGAAGGGGACAGAUACUCAAAGGAUAGCAUCAUUAUUUGAUAUAUGGUUUGCAACUAUUUUUUUCCCAUUAUAUAGGUCACCUUUAUAUUUUGUUGAUUAUUUUGUUUGCUGUAAAGAGACUUAAUUUUGAUGUAGUCCCACUCGUUUUGUUUGUUUGCUUGCCUUUUAUGCAUGCGCUUUCAAUAUCAUAUCCAAAAAUCAUUGCCAAGACCAAGACCCUUGUAAAGGAGAUUCUCCAUGAUUUAUUCUAGGAGUUUUGUAAUUUUAGAUCUUACAUUUAAAUUAUUAAUGCAUUUUAAGUCGAAUAUUGUAUAAGGUGAAAGCUAAAAAUCCAACCUCAUUUUGUCACCAGUCAAUAUACAGUUUUCCCAAUUUGAUAUACAGUUUUCCCAACACCAUUUAUUCUGUGUAUUCUUGGCACCUUUGUCAAAGAUUUGAUCAUGUAUAUGUGGGUUUACUUCUGGGCUUUUUACUCUGUUCCAUUGGGAUGUGUUUUUUUAUGCUAAUACCAAAUUAUUUUGACUAGGGCUUUGUAAUAUUAAUUUAGAAUCAGGAAAUAUGAUGGAUCCAUCUUUGAUUUUCCUACUCAAGCUUACUUUAGCUAUUCAGGGUGUUUUGUGGUUCCAUAUGGAUUUUAUAAUUGAUUUUUCUAUUACUGUAAAAAUGUCAUUGGAAUAUUUUCUUUUUUUUUGUGAUGGAGUCUCGCUCUGUUGCCCAGGCUGGAGUGCAGUGGCAUGAUCUCGGCUCACUGCAAACUCCGCCUCCUGGGUUCAUGCCAUUCUCCUGCCUUAGCCUCCCGAGUAGCUGGGACUACAGGCUCCCACCACCAUGCCCGGCUAAUUUUUUUUAUUUUUGGUAGAGACAGGUUUCAUGCGCGUUUGUGUGAAGAGACCACCAAACAGGGUUUGUGUGAGCAACAUGGCUGUUUAUUUCACCUGGGUGCAGGCGGGCUGAGUCUGAAAAGAGAGUCAGCGAAGGGAGAUAGGGGUGGGGCCGUUUUUUAGGAUUUGGGAAGGUAAUGGAAAAUUACAGUCAAAGGGGGUUGUUCUCUGGUGGGCAGGGUUGGGGGUCACAAGGUGCUCAGUGGGGGAGCUUCUGAGCCAGGAGAAGGAAAUUCACAGGGUUAAUCACUCAGUUAAGGUGGGGCAGGAACAAAUCACAAUGGUGGAAUGUCAUCAGUUAAGGCGGGGCAGGGCCUUUUCACUUCUUUUGUGAUUCUUCAGUUACUUCAGGCCAUCUGGGCAUAUAUGUGCAAGUCACAGGAGAUGCGAUGGCUUGGCUUGGGCUCAGAGGCCUGACAAUCCUGCCUUCUUAUAUUAAUAAGAAAAAUAAAACAGUGUUGAAGUCUUGGGGUGGUGAAAAUUUUGGGGGGGUGAUAUGGAGAGAGAAUGGACGAUGUUUCUCAGGGCUGCUUCAAGCGGGAUUAGGGGCGGCGUGGGAACCUAGAGUGGGAGAGAUUAAGCUGAAGGAAGAUUUUGUGGUAAGGGGUGAUAUUGUGGGGUUGUUAGAAGAAACAUUUGUCAUUUAGAAUGAUUGGUGAUGGCCUGGAUACGGUUUUGUAUGAAUUGAAAAACUAAAUGGAAUAAGAGAAGGAGAAAAACAGGUAUAAAAGGUCUAAGAAUUGGGAGGACCUAGGACAUCUGAUUAGAGAGUGCCUAAGGAGAUUCAGCAUAGUCCUGCCAGCCAAGAUUAUUUAUUUACUUCAAGAGUUAAGAGUGGCGGUUUGGGGAUAGCACGAGGAGAUAUCAGCUGUGAUGGCUUGGAGAAACAGUGUAAACCGGCAGUGUAAACAAGAGCAGGGCAUGUAUGAGUAGUUGAGAACGGAGAAUAGGAGUAUGACUAGACAGAAGAUAGUAGGGAUGACAAGUUUUUUUUGGGGCACACUCUAAGUUGGUCCGGUGUUUGGAAUGAGACUGGGGCCUAAUAAAAAGGAGCAUCUAUACAGGAGCCCAAAUGGGCUGUACCUUGUAGCAUUCUGAGGACGGGUCUGACUUCUGAGAAGGGAAAGUGGUAAAAGUAUUGUCCAGUUCUUUUUAAGUUGGUGGCUGAGCUUGGUGAGGUGUGUUUUUGAAAGACCUUUAGUCCGUUCUACUUUUCUUGAAGACAGACGACUAUAAGGGAUAUAAAGGUUUCACUGAAUACUAAGAGCCUGAAAAACUGCUUGGCUGAUUUGACUAAUAAAGGUUGGUCUGUUAUCAGACUGUAUAGAGGUGGGAAGGCUAAACUGAGGGAUUAUGUCUGACAGAAGGGAAGAAAUGACUGCAGUGGCCUUCUCAGACCCUGUAGGAAAGGCCUCUACCUAUCUAGUGAAAGUGUCUACUUAGACUAAGAGGUAUUUUAGUUUUUGUGACUCAGGGCAUGUUGAGUAAAGCUAAUUUGCCAGUUCCGGGGGCGGGGGCAGGGGGCAAAUCCUCAAGUUUGAUGUGUAGGGAAGGGAGGGGUCCUGAAUAAUCCUUGAGGAGUAGUAGAAUAGCAGAUAGAAUAGCAGAUGGAACACUGAGAAAUUAUUUCCUUGAGGAUAGAUUUCUACAAUGGAAAGGAAAUGAGAGGUUCUAAGAGGCGGGCUAGUGGCUUGUACUAUAGCAUAGCCUGCCUUUGCUGGUGUGUGGCGAUUAGGCCUGGUGGAACUGCCAUCAAUAAAUCAAGCGUGAUCAGGGUGAGGAACAGGAAAGAAGGAAAUAUGGGGAAAUGUGGUGAAUGUCAGGUGGAUCAGAGACAUACAGUCAUGGGGGUCAGGUGUGGUAUCAGGAAUAAUGUGGGAGGCCAGAUUGAAGUCUGGGCCAGGAACAAUGGUAAUUGUGGGACUUAACAAAGAGUGAGUACAGCUGAAGGAGCCGGGGAGCAGAAAGUAUAUGCAUCAGGUAUGAGGAAGAAAAUAGAUUUUGGAAGUUAUGAGAAAUGUAGAGAGUAAGUUGAGCAUAGUUUAUGAUUUUUAGGGCCUCUAAAAGUAUUAGGGUGGCAGCAGCCGCUGCACGGAGACAUGAGGGCUAGGCUAAAACAGUAAGGUCAAGUUGUUUGGACAGAAAGGCUACAGGGUGCGGUCCUGGCUCUUGUGUAAGAAUUCUGACCACACUAACCAUGCCUAGGAAGGAAAGGAGUUGUUGUUUUGUAAGGGAUUGAGGUUGGGGAGAUUAAUUGGACACGAUCAGCAGGGAGAGCACCUGUGUUUUUAUGAGAAUUAUGCUGAGAUAGGUAACAGAUGAGGGUGAAAUUUGGGCUUGACUGAAGUAAUGGGGGCUGUCUGUGAAGCCUUGCGGCAGUACAGCCCAGGUAAUUUGCUGAGCCUAAUGGGUGUUAGGGUCAGUCCAGCUGAAAGCGAAGAGAGGCUGGGAUGAUGGGUGCAAAGGAAUAGUAAAGAAAACAUGUUUGAGAUCCAGAACAGAAUAAUGGAUUGUGGAGGGAGGUAUUGAGGAUAGGAGAGUAUAUGGGUUUGGCACCAUAGGGUGGAUAGGCAAAACAAUUUGGUUGAUAAGGCAUAGAUCCCGAACUAACUUGGAAGGCUUGUCUGGUUUUAGGACAGGUAUAAUGGGGGAAUUGUAAGGAGAGUUUAUAGGCUUUAAAAGGCCAUGCUGUAGCACGCAAGUGAUAACAGGCUUUAAUCCUUUCAAAGCAUGGUGUGGGAUGAGAUAUUGGCAUUGAGCGGGGUAAGGGUGAUUAGGUUUUAAUGAGAUAGUAAGGGGUGCAUGAUCAGUUACCAAGGAGGGAGUAGAGGUAUCUUAUUCCUGUGGGUUAAGGUGGGGGAAUACAAGAGGAGGACGCAAAGGAGGCUUUGGAUUGGGAAGAAGGGCAGCAAUGAGAUGUAGCUGUAAUCCAGGACUAGUCAGGGAAGCAGAUAAUUUAGUUAAAGUGUCUCGGCCUAAUAAGGGAACUGAGCAGGUGGGGAUAACUAAAAGAGUGCUUAGAAGAGUAUUGUCUCAGUUGGCACCAGAGUUGGGGAGUUUUAAGAGGUUUAGAAGCCUGGCCGUCAAUACCUACAACAGUUACGGAGGCAAGGGAAACAGGCCCUUGAAAAGAAGGUAAUGUGGAGUGGGUAGGCUCCAUAUUGAUUAAGGGGACGGACUUACCUUCCACUGUGAGAGUUACUCGAAGCUCAGCGUCUGUGAUGAUCUAUGGGGCUUUCGAGGUGAUCGGGCAGCGUCAGUCUUCAGCUGCUAAGCCGAGAAGGAGUCAGAGAGCCUUGGGCCAGAAUUCCAGGGGCUCUGGGAGUGCCUGCCAGGUGAGUUGAACAGUCCGAUUUCCAGUGGGGUCCCGCACAGAUGGACACGGCUUAGGAGGAAUCCUGGGCUGCAGGCAUUCCUUGGCCUGGUGGUCAGAUUUCUGGCACUUGUAGCAAGCUCCUGUGGGAGGAGGUUCUGGAGGAACUCCUGGCUGCUGUGGUUCAGGCGUUUGGAAGUUCUUGUGUGCUGGAGAUGUGGCUGGGGUUUGUCUCACAGUGGAGGCAAGGAAUUGCAACUUUUUUUUUAUUAUUGUACGCCUUGAAGGCUGGAGGGCAAUGGCGUGGUUUUGCUCACUGCAACCUCCGCCUUCCAGGUUCAAGGAUUCUUCUGCAUCAGCCUUGCAAUUAGCUAGGAAUACAGGUAAGUGCCACGAUGCCCAGCUAAUUUUUGUAUUUUCAGUAGAGACAGAGUUUCACCAUGUUGGUCAGCCUGGUCUUGAACUCUGGACCUCAAAUGAUCUACCUACUUCGGCUUCCCAAAGUGUUGGGAUUACAGGUGUUAACCAAUGCAUCCAGCCUUGAGGUGUAUUUAUUCUAUAUCUAAUUUGAUGAGCGUUUUCAUCAGGAAAUAAUAUCUAAUUUUGUGAAAUGCUUUUGUGCAGUUUUGAGAUGAUUAUCUUUUUAUUUUUCAGUUUGUUAAUAUUGUGUACCACAUUUAUUGAUUUGCAUAUGUUAAUCCAUCCUUGCAUCCCAGGAAUAAAUUUUGCUUAGUCAUGGUGAAUGAUCUUUUUAAUGUACUAUUAAAUUCAGUUAGCUAGUAUUUUUUUGAGAAUUUUUGUAUCUAUGUUCAUCAGGCAUAUUGGCUUGUAAUUUUCUUUUCUGGUAGUCUUCUGGUCUGGCUUUUGUAUUAGGGCAAUUCUGGCAUUUUAAAAUAAGUUUAGAGGUAUUUCAUUCUUCUCAAGUUUUUGGAAGAGUUUGAGAAUGAUAGGUGGUAUUUUGGUUUUUCCUUUAAAUAAUUGAUAGAAUUUACCAGUGAAAGUAUCUGGUCCUUGGGAC